rnacentral:rRNA from 1 species
UGGGGAAUUUUGGACAAUGGGGGAAACCCUGAUCCAGCCAUCCCGCGUGUGCGAUGAAGGCCUUCGGGUUGUAAAGCACUUUUGGCAGGAAAGAAACGUCAUGGGUUAAUACCCCGUGAAACUGACGGUACCUGCAGAAUAAGCACCGGCUAACUACGUGCCAGCAGCCGCGGUAAUACGUAGGGUGCAAGCGUUAAUCGGAAUUACUGGGCGUAAAGCGUGCGCAGGCGGUUCGGAAAGAAAGAUGUGAAAUCCCAGAGCUCAACUUUGGAACUGCAUUUUUAACUACCGGGCUAGAGUGUGUCAGAGGGAGGUGGAAUUCCGCGUGUAGCAGUGAAAUGCGUAGAUAUGCGGAGGAACACCGAUGGCGAAGGGAGCCUCCUGGGAUAACACUGACGCUCAUGCACGAAAGCGUGGGGAGCAAACAGG